AGGAUAAUAGUUUUAAUAAAACACUUAAUUUGCAAUUAAAAAAAACUAAAUAUUAGUUUAUCUU
rnacentral:tRNA from 1 species